rnacentral:rRNA from 1 species
AUUGAACGCUGGCGGCAGGCCUAACACAUGCAAGUCGAACGAGUGGCGGACGGGUGAGUAAUGUCUGGGACACUGCCCGAUGGCGGGGGAUAACUACUUGAAACGGUAGCUAAUACCGCAUACCAUCGGAUGUGCCCAGAUGGGCUUAGCUAGUAGGUGGGGUAACGGCUCACCUAGGCGACGAUCCCUAGCGGGUCUGAGAGGAUGACCAGCCACACUGGAACUGAGACACGGUCCAGACUCCUACGGGAGGCAGCAGUGGGGAAUAUUGCACAAUGGGCGCAAGCCUGAUGCAGCCAUGCCGCGUGUAUGAAGAAGGCCUUCGGGUUGUAAAGUACUUUCAGCGAGGAGGCGUUACUCGAAGAAGAAGCACCGGCUAACUCCGUGCCAGCCGCCGCGGUAAUUG